CAGAGGCAUAAAACAGUGGAGUUAGGCCUUACUGCCUGUGUUUCAGAAUAUAACGUCGUCAAAGAAAGAGUAGUUAGGAAAUCAAGCAACCCAAUUCUUAUUUCUCGUCACCUUUUUCAUUUUUUCGCCACCCCCUUUAAACGAAAUUACCAAAAUGCCCCUGAAAUUAAAAAAAUUACGAAAAUGCCACUAACCUUAAAACCUCUAUAAAACACUUCAAACUCACUCAAUAACACUCUCAUCACUUCCAUAAAUUAAAAUUCUUCACUUAAAACUAAUUGGAGCUAAAGCGUUGGAAUCAAAGUUGUCAACAAAAAUUCGAGUAAAUGGCUGGAAAUCAAGGUAAAGGAAAAGGGUUUUUUAGAGGGUUAUUGAGCGGCAAUAGAUCUACCCAAACUCUCACGAAUGACUACUAACUUCAAGCAAUUUCUACACGAUUUUGAGGACACAAAGCGUCGAAAAUAGGGACCACUGGCUUUGCAGCCCAGCAGCCACAGAGACACCAGCAACCUCUCUUCUCCCCUUGCGCCACCAGUGAACAGCUAGGCUGCCACCAGCUGCUGCACGUCUCACAAGAACACCACCACCAGCACCCGUUUUCCCUCCUCACUGGCAGCAAUCAACCGCCAGCUGCUGGCCCAUUUUUUUGGGCUUUUUCCAGCCGGUUCUGGACUUUGGCGCCACCUCCACGAGGUUCAUUCUCCUCUUCCCCUAUUUGAUUCCUUCUUGUUCCAAUUGAAAUUUAUAAAGUUGUGAGGAAAGUGUUGAAAUUGGUAUGAUUGUUAUUGAAUCUUGUUAUGGGUGAGAAUUAGAUUGAUGAUUUGAAUGUACUUAUGAAUUGGGUUUUUGAAAUGUGGAUGAAAGUGUUGAAUUUUGUGUUAUUUUUCAUUGAAUUCUUUUGUGGUUAAGAGUUUAAUUGAUGAAUUGAACAUAUUCAUGAUUUAAGGUUUGAAGUGUGAUUAGAAAUUAUGGGAUUUGUGUUGAUUGUAUAUUAGUUUGGUUUAAUCCUAUCAUAGGUAAUAGAAAUAGUGUUAUCUUUAAACAUGAAAUAAUUAGAGUUGAUUUAGAAAUGAGAUUUCUAGUAGUGUGUGUGGUGUAUGUUACUUUGAUGGUGUGGUGAUUAAUCGAAUAGCCUUACAAAUUGUUUUAAGACUUGGUUGAUUAUCGUUGUGGUAAUUAGUAAUGAUUUUGAUUAUAGUUGACUAUAAAGAAUGGUUUUUGUUGUUAAUUGAGAGUAGUAGUUGCUAAUUGUUAGUGACUUAAUUGUUAGAAUUACUAAUACCUCAUUUGGUUGUUAUUGGAAUCAUAAAAACAUAAUUGUAAUGAGCCAUGAACAUAGCGUCAACUGUUAAGAAUUAUUGAAGUUACUUGUACGAUGUCUUGAUUUUAGCUCAACCUUGGAGAAUAUAAUAGAUGAUAUUGUUGUGCGAUAACCUUAAGAUUCGUUCUUGUCGUCAUAUUAGCACUACACUAACAUUGUGAGACUUAGGUCUGAAUCGUCGUUUUAUUUCAAGAUAAUGUGAAUCAUUAUAACUCAAAGUUAGCUGGUGUAAUGAAACACUUGACAUGAUUCUUUUAUUCUUUGUCGAUGGAAAAACUUGUGUUAUUGUCGAAUUGACGAUUAUGCUUGGUGUUGAAUGAGAUGCGUACGUGUUAGAAGUAAUUGAAAUCUUGUCGUGAAUGGAUGAUUGUGGUUACUUUGGUUUUUAGCUGGUAUGACAAAGUAGUUAAGGGAACUUAUUAGUUCUACUCAUAACUUAUAUAGGUGCCCAUUUCUUAAGAGGAAAGUAGAGCCUUAGUUGGGUGGUUUUGUGACUUUUGAUCGUGCAGUAACGCUACAGGUACGUAUAGUAACUAACCCUUAGAUGUAAUUUGCUUUAAGAUAUUAUUGUUUAUUGUGAUAAUAUACAUUUCAUUGAAACUAUGAGAUACUAGUGAGUACAAUUUAUAUGAAGAGCUAUUGAUUGUGAAAUCCUUACGCUUAGAGUAGCUAUAGAGAAUGAGAGUGUUAAUAGAAGGCGGGAACCAUCCCUUAUUUAUUUAAGAAUUAGAUUAUGCCUAAUUGGAGUUAGAAUGACUCCUUUAUAGGUGAAUUUCAUAUUCUAUUGAGUGGCUCAGUGGGUUUUGGCGCGCUGCUAUCCCAGGCGCUCAUUAAUAGUUGAGAGUGGAAGUUAUUCCCAUCUGAUAAGGUACUAUAUUAUGAUUAGCUGGCGUGACUUAACUGGAUUAUGUCCGGUUGUUUUAUUAGUCCCCUAGGUGAGGUUCGACGGGACCACCGUAAGGGGGGUAUGAGCAUGCUUGGGUCACUGGGCGCCGGAUGGCCGAUACCGCCCCUUGACCGAGGUGAUACCAUGCGGGCCUUGCAAACCCCAAUAUGGUGGCCUCUUCACUGGUUUAGUACCCUAGUGUGUUAGGUUUUUCCCGAAGGUAGGACCCGAAAGGGUCAGCUGGAGGGGGCAUGAGCUCGUACUUUGCCAAUGGGCGCCGGAUGGCCGAUAACGCCCUUGGCCGUGUCACUAUGCCAGGAAGUAGAGAAAAGAUCCACUGAUAGAAAACUAUUCAGUGAUAGAAAAUUUAUUCAUUGAUCGAAAGUUAUUUAUUGAUAGUAGGUUCAUUCUUUGGUAGAAAGCUUACGCGUUGAUAGAACGUUUACUCUUUGGUAGAAUAUUUACUCUUUGAUAGAACAUCUACUUACUGAUAGAAUAGUUUAUGCUAUUGAGAAAUGUGCCUAAGUUAAGUUACCUCAAGGGUAUUACAGACUAUGAUCACACUUACCUUAAGAUAGACAAGCUCUAUAAGGUCAUGUGUUAGGUAUUCUGUUAAUGCCUUAAUUGAGUUGAGCUAUGCGUGUUUUGCAAGGGUUUAUAUUUGAAAAGAGGAGCGUGAAGACCUGCAUUCUACCCAAGAGAACAUGGUUCGGGUUGGAAGGCGCGUAAUGAAAUUAAGAAGUAUAAGUGGCCGAUACGGUUACUAUCUGUGCUUGCGUUUUAUGAAAUCAUCUUAUGUUGAUUUAUGAUAUAAUGCUAUCUAGUAGUUGGUCUUAUAAUAUUUGAUGUUAGUUACUGACGUGUACGUGUUUGUGUUUAUGUUUGAUUGUUGAUGACUUUCUAUGAUUGUUCUGCUAUGACGCAUUGGCCUUUGGUCUAAUGUCGAGCAGCAGGAGGAUUAUAGACUGGCGUAGCAGGUAUUGGAGCUUCUUUUGCAUUGCAUUACAUUUGGGGAGAGUGAUGAGGGCGAAGCAUAACCUGUGUCAUGCCGCCAUCUUUCGAUUAUGUAGCUCUUGUUAUCUUUUGUAAACUUUGGUUGUAUAUGUUUUGUUACGAGGCCCUAUUUCCUCCCUCGUAUAUUUGUAUUUCCGCUGCGUAGUUUAUAAUUCUGUAUGGCUUUAAGGAGUUAAGUCAUUUUUUUAAAACGCAAACGUCGACAGUGGAACCACGAUCCAUGUUUGGCAUGUUGAUUUGAGAGGCCGGCGACGAAUCAUUCCGCCGUGACAUAGUUUUGAUAGACCGUUAGUGCUUUUACUUGAUUAGCUUUUUAAUUAACUUUUGUUUUUCUACAAAGACGCACAGUUUUAAGGCAAAUGCUGCCAAAAUUUCCACUCACUUUUUUUUAAGUCAAUAAUUAAUGUUUAUCUAAAUUCAAUUCCUAUUCUUUUAUUUAACACCCGG